AAAUCUGACCCAAACCCAACCCCGGAGCGGCCGCUCCGAGUUCAACGACGCCAUCGUCAUCUCCAACCGGGCGCUGAGGGACGGGGAGCUGUUCGAGAUCGUCAUCCAGAAGAUGGUGGAUCGCUGGUCGGGCUCCAUCGAGGCCGGUGUCACCGCCAUCCGCCCCGAGGACCUGGAGUUCCCCAACACCAUGACAGACAUCGACUACGACACCUGGAUGCUGAGUGGCACGGCCAUCACGCAGGACGGGAACACCAUGAGGAACAAUUACGGCUGUGACCUGUGACCAUGGCUGUGUCCCUGUGUCCCUGUGUCCCCAUGGCUGUGUCAGGGCUGUGUCAGGGCUGUCAGGGCUGUGUCCGGGCUGUGUCCCCAUGUCCCCACGG